AAUAGAUACCCUGGUAGUCCACGCCGUAAACGAUGGAUGCUAGCUAUUGGGGGGAAUCGACCCCCUCCGAAGCGAAGCUAACGCGUUAAGCAUCCCGCCUGAGUAGUACGAGCGCAAGCUUAAAACUCAAAGGAAUUGACGGGGACCCGCACAAGCGGUGGAGCGUGUGGUUUAAUUCGAUGGUAAACGAAGAACCUUACCAAGGUUUGACAUCCCGGUAGCCGUUCUCCGAAAGGAGAAUUUCAUUUAGUUGGACCGGUGACAGGUGAUGCAUGGCCGUCGUCAGCUCGUGUCGUGAGAUGUUGGGUUAAGUCCCGCAACGAGCGCAACCCUUAUGAUUUAGUUGGAUUUUUCUAAACAGACUGCCCUGGUAACAGGGAGGAAGGAGGGGAUGAUGUCAGGUCAGUAUUCCCUUACACCUUGGGCGACACACGCGCUACAAUGGCCGGUACAAUGGGCAGCUAAGCCGCGAGGUGGAGCAAAUCCCAUCAAAGCCGGUCCAGUUCGGAUUGCAGGCUGAAACCCGCCUGCAUGAAGCCGGAAUCGCUAGUAACC
rnacentral:rRNA from 1 species